ensembl:lncRNA
CUUCUCCGUGGAGAUCUUUUCUCUGGAGUUUUUGGUGAGCCCUGAUCCUCCGAAGGAGGCUCCUAGCAUUUUCCUGAAGAAGGAACACAUACAUGGGAGGAGGAACAAUGAACUGAAGAGCUUUGAGCUACUUAAAAAUAAGGUUCACUGCUGCCUCCCCCACCAUUCAUUGCUGUUCGAAAUGUAAAUGUGGAAGAAAAUGUGCCGAUCUUACAGAAGAGCCACAUACAUGAUGAGAAGUGUUCUGUAGUACCAAAGGGCAGGAUGCCAUCAUCCCCUUACUACACUGACCAAAAGACAGCUUAAUGAAAGCAAGAAGAACAGCCAAAAGUGGGUUUAUUGCAGCUGGUAGUUCCUGAGAUGCUUGCAGAGGACGGGAUACUAUAAACUGAUUUACCCUGUCUUGUUCUAAAGAUGAUGUCAGUGUGGUUGACUCUCAGGGACUUAAGGACUAAAUGCUCUGCAUGGCUUAAAAGAAAUCUCUUUUAUUGCAUAUCCUCAAACUUCCGUUCUUCCAAAAAUGCUUGCUGAUAACCAUCUCAAAUGAUCAAAUAAUUGUAGAAUAUCCUGAGUUGGAAGGAACCCACAAAGAUCACCCACGUCCAACUCCUGGAUCUGUGCUGGAUCACCCAAAAUUCAAACCCUUUAUCUGAGAGUGUUGUCCCAACUCCAGCAGAUGCUGAAGAGAACUGACCCUGGAAUGGAGCCCUGUGGAACCCCACUAGGGACAGGUCUCCAGCCUGGCAUAACCUCGUUUGAGCCAGACCUGUCAGCAAAUUGUUUUACCUACUGUAUAAGAAAGGAAGCUUUCAAGCCUUGGACCUUAGAAGACAGGAAACAUGAUCUGGCGUUACAUGCCUUAAGGGUUUUAACCCAGCCUGGACUGCAGGUCUCUGUGGAUGAAGGACUAUCCUUCGUGAAUGGGCCAUGUCUGGCAAUGGAGUCCAGUGACACUGCUGAACAAGAGAGUCAUAGCAGUCUUUUGCUCCUGUUAGCUUUCAAAACACUGAACUGAGCUCAAGUUGAAGAUGAUUUUUAUAACUUAACAUUUUGCUCUCUGUGGUUGCUAGUCCUCCUUAUUACUUUCUUUAGCUUAUUUUCCCUUUGCUGUCUGAAUUGCUUCCUCAAAUUCCACCCACCUUUGGCUUUCCCACUCAGCUGGAAGUAUGCAUCUAAAUGUCGAUAGAAAAGAAAAAGCGAAUUCAAAAAGGCUUUUAUAAGAUGCUGUUGCUGCUAAGGUGAAUCAUCUAUAAUAUACCAAAACCACAGAGAUGCCCCAUCUAAACUAAAGCCAGUUUAACUAAUGUGCUGAUGGGAACGUUCUGUGCUUGUAAGCAAGUUCACAGACUUCCUGCCAGAAGGGGGUAAUUACACAAAGGCCUCUAAUAAGCUCUAGAGUUUGUUUCAUGGAGUAGAGGUUUGAAAGCUGAGACAAACGAUAGACUUUCUUCCAGAAAUAUAGUUUUGUGACAUUGAAAGCUGGAAAACAUUAACCCUAGUUUAUAAAUGGGGAACCAAAGUGUGGAGAUGAUUACCUGAUUUGCCAAAUAUUUCGGAGACAGUAUGGGAGACAACUUAUGUGUGACAACCCUUCCAAGGACAAAUGAUACCUCUAAUGUGUGUAGAGUUGCUUAGCUCCUUGUUGCCUAGCAGUGUCUUACACUUCUGUACUUACUGGCUUUAAAGAAGCACCAAAUCAAAAUGGUAGCCUUUUUUUUAUGUAAAUACAAACACCAAAUGGAAGGAAAAGUUUAGCUGACCCUGGCAGUUUUAAUAGCUAUAUCAAUGUCAAGCAUUAUUUUUCUUUAUUCCACUCGUAUUCAAGAAAAGCAUAGAUUUACUACUUCUUUCCUUAAUGGAACAAAUCACUGAAACAUUUCAAGUGAUGGUGCUUUUCUAAGCAACCUAGAAUAAUUAACUGCACUAAAAUGCUUCCUGGCUUGUGUUACCACAAAAACUGUAAAAACAGUUUUACAAGCUCUUGUGCUUUACUGCAAAGCAAACACAUUAAAAACAUUUAAUG